rnacentral:rRNA from 1 species
GUUAGGAAUAUUGGACAAUGGGCGCAAGCCUGAUCCAGCCAUGCCGCGUGAGUGAUGAAGGCCUUCGGGUUGUAAAGCUCUUUAGCCGAUGAUUAUAAUGACUGUAGUCGGAAAAUAAGCCCCGGCUAACUUCGUGCCAGCAGCCGCGGUAAUACGAAGGGGGCGAGCGUUAUUCGGAAUCACUGGGCGUAAAGCGUGCGUAGGCGGCUUUGCAAGUUGGGAGUGAAAGCCCAGGGCUCAACCCUGGAAUUGCUCUCAAAACUGCAAGGCUCGAAUUCGGGAGCGGAUAGCGGAAUUGUCAGUGUAGCAGUGAAAUGCGUAGAUAUUGACAGGAACACCAGUGGCGUAAGCGGCUAUCUGGACCGAUAUUGACGCUGAGGCACGAAAGCGUGGGGAUCAAACAGGAUUAGAAGCCCCGGUAGUCC